UGGGGAAUAUUGCGCAAUGGGCGGAAGCCUGACGCAGCGACGCCGCGUGAGGGAUGACGGCCUUCGGGUUGUAAACCUCUUUCAGCAGGGACGAAGCGUGAGUGACGGUACCUGCAGAAGAAGCACCGGCCAACUACGUGCCAGCAGCCGCGGUAAUACGUAGGGUGCAAGCGUUGUCCGGAAUUAUUGGGCGUAAAGAGCUUGUAGGUGGUUUGUCGCGUCUGCUGUGAAAAUCCGAGGCUCAACCUCGGACUUGCAGUGGGUACGGGCAGACUAGAGUGUGGUAGGGGAGACUGGAAUUCCUGGUGUAGCGGUGGAAUGCGCAGAUAUCAGGAGGAACACCGAUGGCGAAGGCAGGUCUCUGGGCCGUUACUGACACUGAGAAGCGAAAGCAUGGGGAGCGAAC
rnacentral:rRNA from 1 species